rnacentral:rRNA from 1 species
UGAGUACGAGCUGCUACGGCAGCGAAGUGGGUCAUGUCAAGCUUCCAAGAAAAGCCCUAUACCCGUUAAGGCAUGAUGGCCUGUACCCGAAACCGACACAGGUAGGGUGGUAGAGAAUACCGAGGGGCGCGAGGUAACUCUCUCUAAGGAACUCGGCAAAAUGGCCCCGUAACUUCGGGAUAAGGGGUGCCACCGCAAGGUGGUCGCAGUGAAGAGGCCCAGGCGACUGUUUACCAAAAACACAGGUCUCCGCUAAGUCGCAAGACGAUGUAUGGGGGCUGACGCCUGCCCAGUGCCGGAAGGUUAAGGAAGCUGGUCAGCGUAAGCGAAGCUGGCGACUGAAGCCCCGGUGAACGGCGGCCGUAACAAUAACGGUCCUAAGGUAGCGAAAUUCCUUGUCGGGUAAGUUCCGACCCGCACGAAAGGCGUAACGAUCUGGGCGCUGUCUCGGAGAGAGGCUCGGCGAAAUAGAAUUGUCUGUGAAGAUGCGGACUACGUGCACCCGGACAGAAAGACCCUAUGAAGCUUUACUGUAGCUUGGUAUUGUGCCCGGGCUCGCAAUGCGCAGGAUAGGUGGGAGGCUUUGAUCAUCGGCUUGCGGGUCGAUGUGAGCCAACGGUGAGAUACCACUCUUUGCGAGCUAGGGUUCUAACGGUCACCCGUUAUCCGGGGACCGGACAGUAUCAGGUGGGCAGUUUGACUGGGGCGGUCGCCUCCUAAAAGGUAACGGAGGCGCGCAAAGGUUUGCUCAGGCUGGUUGGAAAUCAGCCGACGAGUGUAAAAGCAGAAGCAAGCUUGACUGUGAGACCUACAAGUCGAACAGGGACGAAAGUCGGCUUUAGUGAUCCGACGGUUCUGAGUGGAAGGGCCGUCGCUCAACGGAUAAGAGUUACUCUAGGGAUAACAGGCUGAUCUCCCCCAAGAGUUCACAUCGACGGGGAGGUUUGGCACCUCGAUGUCGGCUCAUCGCAACCUGGGGCUGAAGUCGGUCCCAAGGGUUGGGCUGUUCGCCCAUUAAAGCGGUACGCGAGCUGGGUUCAGAAGGUCGUGAGACAGUUCGGUCCAUAUCCGGUGCACGCGCAGGAACAUUGAGAGGAUUUCUCCCUAGUACGAGAGGACCGGGAGGAACGCACCUCUGGUGUACCAGUUAUCGUGCCAACGGUAAACGCUGGGUAGCCAUGUGCGGAGUGGAUAACCGCUGAAAGCAUCUAAGUGGGAAGCCCACCUCAAGAUGAGUGUUCCCAUGGCGUUAGCCAGUAAGGUCACGGGAAGAACACCCGUUGAUAGGCUCUACGUGGAAGCGCAGUAAUGCGUGAAGCGGAGGAGUACUAAUAGACCGAGGGCUUGACCC